UUGGCUAAUAUUCUGCAGAACAACAUGAUUUUGGCAUACUUAUUUCAGAAAAAGAGAGAUAGAUUUCACAAGUCAUAAUCAUAUUUUUCGAACUAGCAACUAUGGAUAUAUUUUUGACACUUCUAGAGCUAACAACUAUGGACUUAAUUCUUCUGUAGACAAUAGCUUUUUGUGCUUGAAUCUGUAUAAUUUUAUUUUUCAGAAGUGUUAUUGUUUUACCUAGAGAGGAUAUACUAAUUCAAAUAUUUGGUGGUAUAGAGAGAGAGGAGUGAUAAAUAACAUUUGCAUUGACUGGAAUGCAGGUGAUACUUUCAGAAGAAGAAAAAAAUGAAAGAAACUUUUUGAAGAUUACACUUAGACAUAUACUGACUUUAUGUAUUUGUGCACCCACUUUAUUUUGAUUGUUUUUUUGCUAGAUUAGAUAUGCUAAGGACUAGCAUCUCUUUUACCUUCUUUAUCUCUCAAUACUCAUAUAGUGUGUCUUAAUUAUGUCCCAAG
rnacentral:lncRNA from 1 species